UCAGGCAUGGCAUAAUGGUUUGAGUGUUGGACUAUGACUCUGGAGACCGUGGUUCGAUUCCCUGAGUGAA
rnacentral:tRNA from 1 species